rnacentral:rRNA from 1 species
GACGAACGCUGGCGGCGUGCUUAACACAUGCAAGUCGAACGGAAAGGCCCUGCUUUUGUGGGGUGCUCGAGUGGCGAACGGGUGAGUAACACGUGAGUAACCUGCCCUUGCCUUUGGGAUAAAUUCAGGAAACUGGGGCUAAUACCGGGUAGGAGCUCCUGCUGCAUGGUGGGGGGUGGAGAGUUUCGGCGGUUGUGGGUGGACUCGGGGCUUAUGUGCUUGUUGGUGGGGUAGUGGCUUAGCGGGGCUUUGACGGGUCGCCGGCCUGAGAGGGUGACCGGCCACAUUGCGACUGAGAUACGGCCCAGACUCGUACGGGAUGCAGCAGGGGGGAAUAUUGCAUAAUGGGCGGACGUCUGAUGCAGCAUCGCCGCGUGCGGGAUGACGGCCUUCGGGUUGUAAACCGCUUUCGCCUGUGACGAAGCGUGAGUGACGGUAAUGGGUAAAGAAGCACCGGCUAACUACGUG